rnacentral:rRNA from 1 species
AGAUUAAGUUAUUAAGGGCGCACGGUGGAUGCCUUGGCACUAGAAGCCGAUGAAGGACGUUACUAACGACGAUAUGCUUUGGGGAGCUGUAAGUAAGCUUUGAUCCAGAGAUUUCCGAAUGGGGAAACCCAGCAUGAGUUAUGUCAUGUUAUCGAUAUGUGAA